rnacentral:rRNA from 1 species
AUGGAGUUGGUAGUAGGUGCCUCAAACACUACCAUGAGGUCUCUCCUGGGCAAGCUGGGUGGCCUUCUUGCCCAGGAGUAUGCUCUGAUGAGUGGAGUCCGUGGCGAUGUUCAGUACAUCAAUGAUGAGCUUGCAAGCAUGCAGGCCUUUCUCCGUGACCUGAGCACUGCCCCAGACCGUCAUGACAACCGGCUCAAGGACUGGAUGAAGCAGAUCCGUGACAUGGGCUAUGACAUUGAAGAUUGCAUUGAUGACUUUGCCCACCGCAUCCCCCGAGAUCCCAGCAGUGAUUUCAAAUGCUUAUUCAUCAGGACAAGAUUCUACGAACUCCGGACGUGGUGGCCUCGCCGUAACAUUGCGUCCAAGAUUGCUGAACUCAAGGUGCGGGCGCAACAGAUUGGUAAGCGCCGUAGACGAUAUGGAGUGGACAACCCAAUCAACUUGAACAAUGGUCCUCUUGUUCGUGCUGUUACGUACGAAAUUGCUGAGCAUCAGCUCACAGGCCAUCAGCUCAUUGUUACGAAGGAACCUGUGGGGGUGACGGCUGACAUGAAGAAGCUCGAGGAUUGGUUGGACUUGGACAAACCUGUUGAAAUGUGUGAUAAGGAGCGAAUUGUUCUGUCCAUAGCCGGAUUUGGCGGCGUGGGGAAGACCACUAUUGCGAUGGCGUUGUACCAAAAUGCCAGGGAUAAAUUUGAUUGUCGGGCAUCGGUCACAGUAUCUCAAAACUAUGAUCAGGGUGCAGUGCUCAGGAUGAUUCUGAAACAAGUCAAGCCACACGAGAGUGAUCCCAAUAUUGAAGGAAGGAGCCACAGCGAACUCAUGGAAGAACUAAAAACUUAUCUGGCCGAAAAGAGAUAUCUCCUCCUGAUUGAUGACAUAUGGUCUGCACAAACAUGGGAGAAUAUCAGAAAAUGCUUGCCACAUAAUGAUAAAAAAGGCAGCAGAGUAAUAGUGACUACAAGAUUUCAGGCUGUUGGUAGUGCUGCUUGCUCACGAAGAGCAGAAAUUAAUUUUCUUCAUUCAGUCGAUUUUCUUAGUGAUGAAGAGUCUAAAAAAUUGUUUGAUCAAAGUGUUUCUGAAUCCAACAACAACAUAGGUAGUGAGAAAGAACUCCCACCUGAAGAUGUAUGGAAAAUAUGCAGGGGUCUGCCUUUGGCCAUAGUUACCAUGGCUGGUAUUGUUGCUAGCAACCCUCGCAAAUCCAUCAAAGACUGGAAAGAGGCAUGUAACUCAUUAUUUCCAGAGUUGAUGCCUUCUCUGACCCUGGAUGGUGUUACAAGGAUACUCGAUUAUUGCUACAAUGAUUUGCCUGCAGAUCUCAGGACCUGCUCUUUGUACCUGAGCAUAUUUCCUAAGGGUUCAAAAAUUAGUAGGAAGCGUUUCACCCGGAGGUUGAUAGCCGAAGGUUUCGUUAGUGAGAAGCAAGGCUUGUCAGAUGAAGAAGUUGCAGAAACAUACUUUAAUCAGCUGAUAAAAAGGAAGAUAAUACGUCCAGUGGAGCACAGCAGCAACGGGAAGAUAAAAAGCUUUCAAGUGCAUGAUAUGGUCCUUGAAUAUAUUGUUUCGAAGUCAAGCGAAGAGAAUUUUAUUACUGUGGUUGGUGGCCACUGGCUGGUGCCAAUGCCGACCAAUAAAAUCCGCCGACUCUCUGUACAAAGCAGUGGUUCUGAGCAUGGGAAUUCAACGAAACACAUGAACUUAUCGCAAGUGCGAUCUCUGACCAUGUUCCGGAGCCUAGACCAACUUCAUUUCCAUUCUUUCAAUAAUGGAAUUUUACAAGUCCUGGAUCUUGAGGGUUGCAAGGGUUUGAAAGAGAAACAUCUGAAUGACAUGUGUAGAAUGCUUGUACUGAAGUAUUUGAGCCUUAGGCAGACAGAUAUUUCCAAAAUACCCUCUAAGAUUGCAAAACUCGAGUACCUAGAAACUCUUGACCUAAGGGAGACGAAUGUUACUGAGCUCCCAAAAUCUGCAGGACAGCUCAAACGGAUAAUUAAUAUAUUUGGCGGGAAUAAAAGCUCAAGGAAGGGUUUAAAGUUGCCUCAAGAGAUAACUAAGGAGACAAUGAAAGCACUCCGUGUACUGUCAGGGAUCGAGAUUGAUGACAAAUCAACAGGUGUUGCUGGCCUCCAUCAAUUGACGGGGCUUAGGAAGCUUGCAAUUUACAAGCUCAGAUUACAGAAGGGUAGUGAAACCUUGACACAGUUAGGCUCUGCUAUCGAGUAUCUUGGCAGCUGUGGUCUGCAGACUCUGGUGCUCAACGACGAGGGAUCUGAUUUUAUCAACUUGUUGGACACCAUGUCCGGCGCACCUCCAAGAUACCUCAGUGCCCUUGAGCUCUCUGGCAAUUUGAAAGAUGUUCCCCAGUGGAUUACCAAACUCAGUAACCUCAACAAGUUGACCCUUUCUGUGACAGUUCUCCGGACAGAUACUUUUGUGCUCCUGCGCGACCUGCCUUUGUUGUUUUCCCUCACCUUUUCGCUGAGUGCAGCGAAGCAGGAUGAGGCCAUAGUGGACAUCAUUGAUGAUAACAAAUCACAGUCUGGUGGGGUAAUCUACGUUCCAGGUGAGGGAUUCAAGAGUCUUAAGCUGCUUCGCUUCUUUGCACCUCUAGUGCCAAAGCUGAGCUUCCCAGAAGAUGCAAUGCCAGCACUUGAAAGGAUCGAGAUGCGGUUCGAAGCCUUUGAGGGCCUUUUCGGUGUUGACACCCUGAAAAGUCUCAAGGAGGUGCACCUCAGAGUCAAUAGCACAGCAGAUGACAUAACCAACUUCAUAGUAGAUGAUUUGAAGGCCAUCAAGGCGCCAAAGAUAAUCGUGGAUCAUGUUAUCAGCAGCUGA